rnacentral:lncRNA from 1 species
GGGAAAAGGUAACCCGAUAACCGACCCAUAGAAAGUUCGGGUUGGUCGGGUUCAGGUUUUUCAAGUAAUAUUUAAUUCGGGUUCGGGUGGCUGUGAAUUCGAGUCGGGUUUUGGGUUUCGGAUAAAAAUGGACAGCCCUAUUGCCACCUGUAGCAGGCACCAAUCGAAGAUGGUGCCUUUGGAUAUAGUGCAUGUUGUAUUUCUAUAAAAAAUUCAAAAGUGAGUGAAAAUUUAAAUGUACUCACCUCAGCUGACAGAAUGAAAUUUAGACCCAUAUUCAACCUUUCUUCAAGAAAUGCAGACGUACAACCAUUUGAGUCGAUCUUCCCUCUAAGGCGACACUGUCAACAUGAAAUCACGUUAAUAAUAUGACAAAAAGCUUGAGCAAUAUUUACUAACAAGUCCAACUAAAAACAUACAAUACCACAGUCAAAUUUAUUAUAUUUAAUUGGAUUUAUAAAAAGUUAAUUAUUUUGUAGUUUAAAAAUGAAACUAGAUAGCAAGGGGCACGAUAUUUAUUGACCGUGACUGUUGAUGAAGAAUUUGUUGAAUUACCUGACGGACAUAACCAAGACCAGACUUCCUAUGCUGACCAGCCCAAAACACUUCGCCACCUAA